AAUAUUUGCAAUGGACUAUUACCCCUGGCUUGAGGCUUUUCAUGUAAUUUCAAUUAUUAUGUGGAUGGCAGGUCUAUUAUAUUUGCCGAGACUUUACGUUUACCAUGCAACCAUGAAGCAUGGAUCAGAAAGCGACAUCUUGCUGCAAAUAAUGGAGAAAAGGCUUUUAAGAUACAUAAUAAACCCUGCUAUGUGCUUUUCACUUGGCUUGGGAAUAACAUUAACGAUAAUAAGAGAAGCAUAUAGAGAAGGAUGGUUUCACAUAAAAAUGCUUGCUGUAUGUUUAAUGUUGAUUAUUCAUAUGCUGCUUGCAAGGCAUAGAAAGGAUUUUGUCACGGGUUUAAAUAAGAAAACCCAUACUUAUUUCCGUGUUUUGAAUGAAACAGUAACAGCGUUAGUUAUAGUUAUAGUUAUUAUGGCCAUCGUAAAACCUUUUAGAUAACUCAGAGAAAACAGCCAUCAAUUUUACUAUUAUUUACCAGAUGAUACACCCGAUAACCAUAUAUAUCAGGUAUAGAGAUCGACAGACAAGUAAAUCAUGCGGGAAGUAUUAGACGCAUAAUAGCGCAUGUUGUUAAUUAAG